rnacentral:rRNA from 1 species
UACAGAGGUCUCAAGCGUUGUUCGGAUUCAUUGGGCGUAAAGGGAGCGUAGGCGGUCGGGUAAGUUGGAUGUGAAAUCCUGGGGCUCAACCUCAGAACUGCAUUUAAUACUGCUUGGCUAGAGUACUGGAGAGGUGAGUGGAAUUCACGGUGUAGCAGUGAAAUGCGUAGAUAUCGUGAGGAAGACCAGCGGCGAAGGCGGCUCACUGGACAGUUACUGACGCUGAUGCUCGAAGGCCAGGGGAGCAAACGGG